GACUUAAAAUCCGUCGACUUUAGAAAUCGUGAGGGUUCAAGU
rnacentral:tRNA from 12 species